rnacentral:rRNA from 1 species
GUCCACGCCGUAAACGAUGGGCACUAGGUGUCGGAGGUGUCGACUCCUCCGGUGCCGUAGCUAACGCAUUAAGUGCCCCGCCUGGGGAGUACGGCCGCAAGGCUAAAACUCAAAGGAAUUGACGGGGACCCGCACAAGCAGCGGAGCAUGUGGUUCAAUUCGACGCAACGCGAAGAACCUUACCUGGGCUUGACAUGUAGGUGACAGCCGUGGAAACACGGUCUCCCUUCGGGGCACCUUCACAGGUGGUGCAUGGCUGUCGU